CCUACGGGAGGCAGCAGUGGGGAAUAUUGGACAAUGGGGGGAACCCUGAUCCAGCCAUGCCGCGUGUGUGAAGAAGGCCCUCGGGUUGUAAAGCACUUUCAGUGAGGAAGAACGCCUGGUGGUUAAUACCCAUCAGGAAAGACAUCACUCACAGAAGAAGCACCGGCUAACUCCAUGCCAGCAGCCGCGGUAAUACGGAGGGUGCGAGCGUUAAUCGGAAUUACUGGGCGUAAAGCGCGCGUAGGUGGCUUGAUAAGCCGGUUGUGAAAGCCCCGGGCUCAACCUGGGAACGGCAUCCGGAACUGUCAAGCUAGAGUGCAGGAGAGGAAGGUAGAAUUCCCGGUGUAGCGGUGAAAUGCGUAGAGAUCGGGAGGAAUACCAGUGGCGAAGGCGGCCUUCUGGACUGACACUGACACUGAGGUGCGAAAGCGUGGGUAGCAAACAGGAUUAGAUACCCUGGUAGUC
rnacentral:rRNA from 1 species